rnacentral:rRNA from 1 species
CCUACGGGAGGCAGCAGUGGGGAAUAUUGCACAAUGGGGGAAACCCUGAUGCAGCGACGCCGCGUGAGUGAAGAAGUAUCUCGGUACGUAAAGCUCUAUCAGCAGGGAAGAAAAUGACGGUACCUGACUAAGAAGCCACGGCCAACUACGUGCCAGCAGCCGCGGUAAUAGGUAGGGGGCAAGCGUUAUCCGGAUUUACGGGGGUGAAAGGGGGCGUAGACGGGAGCACAAGUCUGGAGUGAAAUCCCGGGGCUGAACCCCGGAACUGCUUUGGAAAGUGGGCGGCUGGAGUGCAGGAGGGGUAAGCGGAAUUCCUGGUGUAGCGGUGAAAUGCGUAGAUAUUAGGAGGAACACCGGUGGCGAAGGCGGCUUACUGGACUGUGACUGACGUUGAGGCUCGAAAGCGUGGGGAGCAAACAGGAUUAGAUACCCCAGUAGUC